AUUGUUAACAGAUUUUUCAAUACUUUUAUAUAACAUUUCAAGUUUCAACAUGUGGUCCAAUUAAUUGACGUUGUGUCCGAAGAUGACUUCAGAGUCGAAACACGUGUAACACAUAAAAAUAAAAAUUUAUACGAUUCAUCUUUUAAGGCCAAAAAA